rnacentral:tRNA from 1 species
GGGAAUGUGGCUCAGUGGUUAGAGCGCUUGCCUAACAUGCAUGAAGCCCUGGGUUCGGUUCCUCAGUACCA